rnacentral:rRNA from 1 species
AUGGUCAUUGCUCGCGACGUCUUGGACAUUGAUCGCAAGCGCAAUAUCAUCUUCGCUCGCCCAAGGAGUAACCCUCAAACCAUCACGGAGGAGCAUCCAUAUCUAGAACUCACGGGUCCAUCCUGUGCCGUCGUGACAUCUGGCGAUCCAGGGAAAAUCGAGAUCGUGCUCAAAGUUAAGGGUGCAACUGAACCUGAUGAUAGAGAUCUAAGUCUUCUUGUCUUACCGUUGAAGAAUCGUAUGUAUUGUGAAUAUGACAGAUAUUACACUAGCAAGCAUAGCACGAUGGAGCUAACUUUCUGGCACAUUGACAACUCUGUGGAGGCGACAAUCGGUGCACGCCUUAUUGGUGGAUCAUCAUGGCCACAUGGUUUGCAAGGCGUAAUGGUCGCUCGUAUUUCCGAUAUGGAAGAUGCCGAAGUUUCUUUGCUUGCCUUUGGAGGAGGUAAAUUGCAUGUUGUUGCUGAUGAUGGCAUGAUCAAGCUCACACGACGUGUUGUUUCUGUUGAACAUCGUGAUGGAGAGCUGCAAGUUUCUAUCGCUGCACGGUGUGAAAAUGAUGAACAAGUUAUCAGUGUGAGAGAUGAUAUAGUUUUCACACCCAAGAAAAAUGGCAGAACUAGUGGUGUGCUUAAUGUUGGCGCAUGUAAGAUCCAGCUCACUGUUGCCUGGUCACUUUUCAAUUAA